rnacentral:lncRNA from 1 species
GGGCAGGAGCACUUGUGUGUCUGCAGGGACUUUUCACAGGCAGUGCCUAGUGGUGGCAGAACAUCACCAGGGAAGCUAGAGGUUGAGCGGGUGAACAGGGACAAGCCACCCUUUCUUUUCUGACCUGACUCUUGGGUUCCCAGAUCUCAUUGCCUUCAUGGAAGGAAGCAGACAUUCCCCACGAUACACUCUGUGGUUCUGUGUGGGGGAAUCGUGGCCCCAGGACCAGCCGUGGGUCAAGAGGCUUGUGAUGGUCAAGGUGCCAGCUGUCUUUAUGCUACUGGGGAUGGGAGGGUCCACUUGUGGAGGAACCUCAGCAGCCCGGGACUAAAACUCUCAGAAGGCUGUCUGAGACAACAACUGCAACAGCCCUCUGCAGCCACUAUUCCCCAUGCCCAAGAUCUCUGGGUCUUCUCUGAAGGCUUCUCCAGAUAUCCAGAGCUUAUUCUGACUCUAGACCUGUAGCUGGCAGGCGCAAGCCUUUACAGCCUUUAAAUGUAUGGCUCCCGGGGGCUUCCAUUGGUUAUGGCCUGGGUGGUGGGGGGUGCAGCCACAGUUCCUAGAGGCACUAGGCUGAGUGAUGCUGGGUUAUGCUGGUAGCCUAUAGAUGACUAGAGAUUUGUCCUGCCUCCUUCAGGUUGUUCCUACAUGUCUUAAGGAGCUGUUAGAGAUGGCCCGGGAAGGGGGAGCCUCAUCACUGAAAACCGUGGACUUGCACAUCUCCAACAGCCAGCCGAUCUCCCUUACCUCUGACCAGUACAAGGCCUGCCUCCAGGACUUGGUGGAAGACAUGGACUUCCAGGCCACUGGAGAAACCUGAGCCCAGCUCAGCUGCUCCAAUAAAGCAAUUUAUGCCACCAUCACAA